UGACAAGCCUAUCUAACCCAUAUGUGAACAUAAUUUUUGGUGUCGUCGUUGAUGACCGUUACACUGGUGAGAUACAUGUGACAAUCAUUGCGACAGGAUUUCCACAGUCCUUCCAGAAAUCCCUUUUGGCGGAUCCAAAGGGAGCACGUAUAGUGGAAUCCAAAGAGAAAGCAGCAACCCUCGCCCAUAAAGCAGCAGCUGCUGCAGUUCAACCGGUUGGUGCUAUGCUCCAAGAAUUAGAAAAGGAGAUUGAUGAUGUGGAUGCACAAAUUCGAAAUCUUUGACAACUGCUUGAUAAGUAAGUCACUCCUAUGUAUGGAUCUUUUUAUGUCGUGUGCUUCUCAGUCAGUGCAUUUUGUUGCCGAGUUCUACCUGAUAGGGAAACUUGAUGCUAUUUUAUGUUAAUUUAAAAUCGGUAGUAGCUCUGUUGCCCUGUCAAAACACAGUUCUGUGUCACGACCAAUUUAGUUUUAAUGUACUCUUAUUUUUUUAGUGGCUGUUUUAUGUCCAUCAUUUGUCUUGGACUUUGUUUUCCUUGUGAUAUAUCAGCCGAGACACUUUUUUGAGUGUAUUUAUAAAAAUCACAAAAAGUCAUGUGUUUCUGUGAUCUACUACCUCACCAUAUUUAGAGGAUCAUUUUAUGAAAUGCACUAUUUCAUAAACUCGUCAUCCUUGUGGAGUCACUGCAAAAGCAUGGUUGCAACUUCCUAUUAUUCUAAGGCCUGUUUGUUUCUAUGACCAGCCAACAUGCGACCGCGAUUAAGCGAACGCGGCUCUGAGGCUGUGUUUUGGAAAUCACCCAGUCAUGUUCAUUUUCUGAUGUAGACACGUUCGUAAUCGACUGUUUGGCAGGAAUAUUUUGCAUUUUCCGCUGAAAUGUUUCUUACAGUGUUUAUAUCUGCCUGCGCAAUUGCACCUAGCAGUUGAGGAGUGCCUCUUUGGCUCUUUUCGCAUGGCUUGGCAAGAUUAUACUAGAGACUUGUAUUUCUCAGAUCCAUAUUUGGCUUAGGUCUAGCAUGCCAAAUGGACAGCCAAAAUGGCUUCUUUGUUUCAUACCAAAUUAUCCUAUGCUUAUCUUCAUGCUUACUAUAGCGAUCUAUCUUCUUGCGUGGAAGGAGUCGAACUGGGGAACAAGAGAGAAGGACCCCGCUAGCCCCAUCCUUGGUGGGAGGAAGAAGCUAGCACCACCAUUGCAGCAGGAGGAGGUGGUGGAUCCAAGCCUACGCGACGGGUUCAGAGCGAAGGCGCUCCUCGGUAGACAAGACACCAGCAUCACUGAUACCUGCUCCCUGUCCUGACGAGAUUUGGACACCUUACAAAGGGUAAGGAUUACGAGGAUCCACCAGACUCUGCAUCGGCGUGCCCGCGGGCUAGAUGGCCAUCAAGGAGACACUACUGAUGGAGGCGCCAUCUUUGGUAGCUGAGGACAAAUUAGAGUUUGUCUUCCGGUGCAGUUUAUACCUUUUCCAAAUUUACUGCAUCACCGUUUAUUGCUUUUCAACAUGUGAGAUUGUGAUUGCAGUGUUAAACUAUUCAUAUUCUGCUUGCUUUUUGCAUAUUGCAUCACCGUCCUUUUUUUGGAGUGACUGCAUUCUAUGGAUAUUUAGGAUCAUCAUGAUCUCAUAUUUGGAGAGUUCUAAUUUCAUAUUUGAGUAGGAAUUUUGGAUCGAGAAUAACAAGGGAGGUUUAUGGAGAGAGUAUCGAACACAGAGAGAGAUGAUCGGAGGUACUGGAGCCACCUAUCCACAAGAUUUGGUGACUAGAGGUAGGUUGGAGAUUGAUUUCUGCUUUCCUGCUGGUUCAUACAACCUAUUCUUCUGACUCCAUUUGGGUCGAUCGCAUAAGCUGAUGGGCCACAAAGGAUGUUGUUUUGAGAAUAUCCAUGGUUGGGACAUCAAAUGGACACAGUUGGGACAUCAAGUUUAGACGAGACUUUUGGUUUCACAAUGGCUACAAUGAAUGGAUCAGAAAGUGUAUUUACAACGUGCAAGGGUGACAAGAAUAUGAACACUCUAAUGCACCACCCUUUUAGUAACUGGGCUGAUACAGUGAGUCGCUAUUUCACAAGAUCGUCAUGGCCAGACGUGAACCUGAAGCUAAAGCUGACUUCCAGCCAAUCCAACUAGCAGCUGCAGGCGGGGAGUGGAUGCGCCUGCUAGAUGAGUGCUAGCUUUGCGUAUACGCUCGCUCGACAAACGUGUGUUGUUAACUAUUGUAUAUAGUGUUAUAAUUACUGUCCUUUA